GGGCGUAAGAGCUCGUAGGCGGCUUGUCACGUCGGGUGUGAAAGCCCGGGGCUUAACCCCGGGUCUGCAUUCGAUACGGGCUAGCUAGAGUGUGGUAGGGGAGAUCGGAAUUCCUGGUGUAGCGGUGAAAUGCGCAGAUAUCAGGAGGAACACCGGUGGCGAAGGCGGAUCUCUGGGCCAUUACUGACGCUGAGGAGCGAAAGCGUGGGGAGCGAACAGGAUUAGAUACCCUGGUAGUCCACGCCGUAAACGGUGGGAACUAGGUGUUGGCGACAUUCCACGUCGUCGGUGCCGCAGCUAACGCAUUAAGUUCCCCGCCUGGGGAGUACGGCCGCAAGGCUAAAACUCAAAGGAAUUGACGGGGGCCCGCACAAGCAGCGGAGCAUGUGGCUUAAUUCGACGCAACGCGAAGAACCUUACCAAGGCUUGACAUACGCCGGAAAGCAUCAGAGAUGGUGCCCCCCUUGU
rnacentral:rRNA from 1 species